rnacentral:rRNA from 1 species
UACGAAGGGUGCUAGCGUUGUUCGGAAUUACUGGGCGUAAAGGGCGUGUAGGCGGUCACGUGCGUCAGGUGUGAAAUCCCCGGGCUUAACCUGGGAACUGCAUUUGAUACGGCGCGACUAGAAUCUGAGAGAGGGUAGCGGAAUUGCGAGUGUAGAGGUGAAAUUCGUAGAUAUUCGCAGGAACAUCAGUGGCGAAGGCGGCUACCUGGUUCAUGAUUGACGCUGAGGCGCGAAAGCGUGGGGAGCAAACAGG